AGCAGAGCCGUGGUGACUCUCUGAACAGCACACACACACACACACACACACACACACACACACACACACACACACACACACACACACACACACAGUGGAGAGAACGGUCACACACAUAAACACAAGGAGCACACGAGACUACAGAAAAGCCUGCAUACAGAAAGCUAAGCCUCCCGUGUCUCUCUCCCUCCUCUCUCUCCCUCUCUUGCUCUCUCCUUCUCUCUGUCGGCCGUGGCAGUUACAGCUCAAUCAGGUAGAGCCAGACUCACAGGAGCACCUUCCCUUUGUCUCCCACCGUCCUCCUUCUCAAGAUUCUGUGUGUAUGUCAUGGUUACACCUGGCCAUCAGAACAUGAAAUGAUCAGCUACCUGCUGUUCUUCAGUAGAGGUAAGGAAAGACAUCUAAUGACAACUAACGAUGUUACAUAAUGACUGUGUGUGUGUGUGUGUGUGUGUGUGUGUGUGUGUGUGUGUGUGUGUGUGUGUGUGUGUGUGUGUGUGUGUGUGUGUGUGUGUGUGUGUGUGUGUGUGUGUGCCUGCUGUGGGUUCAGUAAAGGUAAGGGGAUCUAAUGAUGUCUAAUGUUAGCAGAAAGACAUGUUAUAGGUCUUUCUGCGAGUUGUACUACGGCCCAGUCUGACGGAGGAGAGAGAGGAAGAUAACAC
rnacentral:lncRNA from 1 species